rnacentral:rRNA from 1 species
AUACGUAGGUGGCAAGCGUUGUCCGGAAUUAUUGGGCGUAAAGCGCGCGCAGGCGGAUCUGCCAGUCUGUCUUAAAAGUUCGGGGCUUAACCCCGUGAUGGGAUGGAAACUACAGAUCUAGAGUAUCGGAGAGGAAAGUGGAAUUCCUAGUGUAGCGGUGAAAUGCGUAGAUAUUAGGAAGAACACCAGUGGCGAAGGCGGCCUGCUGGACAUUAACUGACGCUGAGGCGCGAAAGCGUGGGGAGC